rnacentral:rRNA from 1 species
AACGAACGCUGGCGGCAUGCCUAACACAUGCAAGUCGAACGAGACCUUCGGGUCUAGUGGCGCACGGGUGCGUAACGCGUGGGAACCUGCCCUUAGGUUCGGAAUAACUCCCCGAAAGGGGUGCUAAUACCGGAUAAUGUCUUCGGCCCAAAGAUUUAUCGCCUUUGGAUGGGCCCGCGUUGGAUUAGCUAGUUGGUAGGGUAAAAGCCUACCAAGGCGACGAUCCAUAGCUGGUCUGAGAGGAUGAUCAGCCACACUGGGACUGAGACACGGCCCAGACUCCUACGGGAAGCAGCAGUGGGGAAUAUUGGACAAUGGGCGAAAGCCUGAUCCAGCAAUGCCGCGUGAGUGAUGAAGGCCUUAGGGUUGUAAAGCUCUUUUACCCGGGAUGAUAAUGACAGUACCGGGAGAAUAAGCUCCGGCUAACUCCGUG